CAGCAGCCGCGGUAAUACAGAUGGUGCAAGCGUUAAUCGGAAUUACUGGGCGUAAAGCGCGCGUAGGUGGUUUGUUAAGUUGGAUGUGAAAUCCCCGGGCUCAACCUGGGAACUGCAUCCAAAACUGGCAAGCUAGAGUAUGGUAGAGGGUGGUGGAAUUUCCUGUGUAGCGGUGAAAUGCGUAGAUAUAGGAAGGAACACCAGUGGCGAAGGCGACCACCUGGACUGAUACUGACACUGAGGUGCGAAAGCGUGGGGAGCAAACAGGAUUAGAUACCCCCGUAGUCCCUGUCUCUUAUAC
rnacentral:rRNA from 1 species